rnacentral:rRNA from 1 species
AACGAACGCUGGCGGCAUGCCUAACACAUGCAAGUCGAACGAGACCUUCGGGUCUAGUGGCGCACGGGUGCGUAACGCGUGGGAACCUGCCCUUAGGUUCGGAAUAACUCCCCGAAAGGGGUGCUAAUACCGGAUAAUUUCUUCGGACCAAAGAUUUAUCGCCUUUGGAUGGGUCCGCGUUGGAUUGGAUAGUUGGUAGGGUAAAAGCCUACCAAGGCGUAGAUCCAUAGCUGGUCUGAGAGGCUGAUCAGCCACCCUGGGACUGAGACACGGACCAGACUCCUACGGGAGGCAGCAGUGGGGAAUAUUGGACAAUGGGCGAGAGCCUGAUCCAGCAAUGCCGCGUGAGUGAUGAAGGCCUUAGGGUUGUAAAGCUCUUUUAACCGGGAUGAUAAUGACAGUACCGGGAGAAUAAGCUCCGGCUAACUCCGUG